rnacentral:misc_RNA from 1 species
AACCAUAGAAACCUGCGGAGUACCUGCGGAAGGAUCAUCAUCGAAUUCAUAUCCCCCUCCUCUCCCGAGGGGGACCCAUGAUAAACCGUUCUGUGCACCGUUAAACCGUUCACUUUGGCAGGCUUUGGUGGCACACCUCCAACCUCGCGUUCCCUCCUCCCUAAGGAGGUCUUACGCGUGGCGGCCUGCCAGAGUCUCCCAUUAAAAACACGUUUUCGAACACGUCUGAAAAUUUCCUUU